rnacentral:rRNA from 1 species
CGACUUGGAGGUUGUUCCCUUGAGGAGUGGCUUCCGGAGCUAACGCGUUAAGUCGACCGCCUGGGGAGUACGGCCGCAAGGUUAAAACUCAAAUGAAUUGGCGGGGGCCCGCACAAGCGGUGGAGCAUGUGGUUUAAUUCGAUGCAACGCGAAGAACCUUACCUACUCUUGACAUCCAGAGAACUUAGCAGAGAUGCUUUGGUGCCUUCGGGAACUCUGAGACAGGUGCUACAUGGCUGUCGUCAGCUCGUGUUGUGAAAUGUUGGGUUAAGUCCCGCAACGAGCGCAACCCUUAUCCUUUGUUGCCAGCGAUUCGGUCGGGAACUCAAAGGAGACUGCCGGUGAUAAACCGGAGGAAGGUGGGGAUGACGUCAAGUCAUCAUGGCCCUUACGAGUAGGGCUACACACGUGCUACAAUGGCGCAUACAAAGAGAAGCGACCUCGCGAGAGCAAGCGGACCUCACAAAGUGCGUCGUAGUCCGGAUCGGAGUCUGCAACUCGACUCCGUGAAGUCGGAAUCGCUAGUAAUCGUGGAUCAGAAUGCCACGGUGAAUACGUUCCCGGGCCCUGUACACACCGCCCGUCACACCAUGGGAGUGGGUUGCAAAAGAAGUAGGUAGCCUAACCUUCGGGGGGGCGCUUACCACUUUGUGAUUCAUGACUGGGGUGAAGUCGUAACAAGGUACC